rnacentral:lncRNA from 1 species
UCCCAACUAGAAACCAACAUGAAAAAAGAGGAGUGCUUGAUGGAAGGCAUAAUUUGUUAUGUCCUAUGUGCAAUGCAGAAGUUGAAAUUGAGACUUAUCUUUUUCUUUCCAGUUUUGUUAGCUCAGGAAUCUGGCAGCAAGUUUACAGUUUGAUUUACUAUAAAAAAUUUCAUAUGCCAAACAAAAUGUUAAUCUUUUAAGUACCAACAUCUUACAAAGAAAUUUCUACACCUAGAAAUAACUUGGAAUUAUUCAAACUAGUUCGCUUCCAUGCAGGAACACAUAUAGUCAUCGCACUUUGGAGUUUGAUAAGGAGAGCAUAUAUUUGCGUCACAAUCAUCGUCAAUAAUGCAAAACACAUAAUCUAUGAUGUUAAAUAAGAAUAAAUAUUACCAAAAAGAGAUGAACAAUUACUAUAUGAUAAAGAAUAAGAUUUGAAAUAGGUGUGAAAAAGAUAACUUACAAUUGCAUGUUACAAGAACUAUUAGAGAAAAAAAUAUGAUCAAAACAUGAAUUAAUUUGAGAAUUCUAACCAUGUUUCUCUUCUUUUCAUACAAUUAAUAGUAGUUAGUUUAUCACUUUAUAAGUAAAAAACAUGUAUCGUUAACUUUACUUUAAUAGAUUUAGUACUUACCAAGUUGCAAGAAACUAUAUUCAUAAAUUAAGAAUUAUUCUUAUGUGUCUCUUAGAUACAUCAACAUGUCUUGUAUAUAUUUUUAGCUUACUUAAUAAAUCAC